UGGGGAAUAUUGGACAAUGGGCGCAAGCCUGAUCCAGCCAUGCCGCGUGAGUGAUGAAGGCACUAGGGUUGUAAAGCUCUUUCACCGGUGAAGAUAAUGACGGUAACCGGAGAAGAAGCCCCGGCUAACUUCGUGCCAGCAUCCGCGGUAAUACGAAGGGGGCUAGCGUUGUUCGGAUUUACUGGGCGUAAAGCGCACGUAGGCGGACUAUUAAGUCAGGGGUGAAAUCCCGGGGCUCAACCCCGGAACUGCCUUUGAUACUGGUAGUCUUGAGUUCGAGAGAGGUGAGUGGAAUUCCGAGUGUAGAGGUGAAAUUCGUAGAUAUUCGGAAGAACACCAGUGGCGAAGGCUGCUCACUGGCUCGAUACUGACGCUGAGGUGCGAAAGCGUGGGUAGCAAACAGG
rnacentral:rRNA from 1 species